AGGGCACCACCAGGAGUGGAGCCUGCGGCUUAAUUUGACUCAACACGGGAAAACUCACCCGGCCCGGACACUGGAAGGAUUGACAGAUUGAGAGCUCUUUCUUGAUUCAGUGGGUGGUGGUGCAUGGCCGUUCUUAGUUGGUGGAGUGAUUUGUCUGGUUAAUUCCGAUAACGAACGAGACUCUAGCCUAUUAAAUAGAUCGUUGGCUUACAAACGCCGGCGAGACUUCUUAGAGGGACAGGCGGCGAUUCAGCCGCACGAAACAGAGCAAUAACAGGUCUGUGAUGCCCUUAGAUGUCCGGGGCCGCACGCGCGCUACGCUGAAGUGAUCAGCGUGCAUUUUGAAACCUACUCUGUCAAGAGUGGGGAACCCAAUGAACCUUCUUCGUGAUUGGGAUAGGGGAUUGUAAUUAUUCCCCUUGAACGAGGAAUUCCCAGUAAGCGCGAAUCAUAAGUUUGCGCUGAUUACGUCCCUGCCCUUUGUACACACCGCCCGUCGCUACUACCGAUUGAAUGUUU
rnacentral:rRNA from 1 species